rnacentral:lncRNA from 1 species
UAUAAACUUCAGCAAAUAAGCUCUAGGGAUUAAUAAAACUGCAUCUGUCCAACUUAACAGGCACACAUUAGUUAUAAAGUGGCCUCCAUCAUAACCCUUAACAGUCCAACAUCAGUUCAAGCAUCACAGCAUAGUUCAGAGUUUAAAUAGUCCGGUACAGCCAACAGACUUAAAGGAUUACACAUAGAAACAACAGCUCAAAAGACAACCAUCAAAGCAUGACAUUGAAACAGCAGCUCCAAGCUUGCCUACAUCCAAAAGCUUCUUGAUAUCCUUGGUUAUUCUUCAAAUGCCAUUUCUGGUUUAGAGAAAACAAAGGAAGGGUCAGGAUGGAGGUAGUUCUGCAUCGGAAUUAUCUUCUGCCACUUUGUGCAUAAAAAAUAAAAUGGACUAACAGGACAAGAAGUGGCUAGUAGAACAAUAGUCAAAUGUUAUGCAUGCUCAUGAAUCAAAUAACAAAUCUACUACAACAAUAUAGUUUUUUAUUCACCAAAAAGCUUCAGGAGCAAAGGUUAAAUUCCUCCAUAUACUAGAAUAAUUCUAGUUCAUAGUUUGUACUCCAGCACAACAAAACUCUUAAGGAUACAAAGAAAGCGACAUAGACACAAACAGCCCAUUGUUGGCUUGGACUAGCCAUUUGUCAAUUGUCAUACAGAAGGAAAAUCCACGGUGAAAAAUGUGAAACAAAAAUCAUGCAUAAGCUCAAACAUAUUACAAGAUAAAUACAGUGGUUAAUAUACCUAUAAAAUAGCAGCUCCAAGCUUGCAUACAUCCAAAAGCUUCUUGAUAUCCUUAGUUCUUCAUGUGGCAUUUCUGGUUUAGAGAAAACAAAGAAAGGAUCAGGAUGGAUGUAGUUCAACACCAGAAUUUUCUUCUUCCACUUUGUGCAUAAUGAAAUAAAAUGGACUAACAGGGAAGUGUCUAGUGCAACAAUAGUCAAGUGGUAACAAUUCAGGAUAAUAUGAAUACAUUGCUUAACAUGAUAACGAGGCUAGGCAUGGAUAGAAAGCUAACACAUCUAAGUAACUAGCAGCUCCAAGUAACUCAAAUUUUAUAAGCAAUUAUCAUGAAUAAUAAAACACUAAAAAGAAGAGACUUAUCAGCAGAUUCUAAGCAACAGGGUAUGGGCUGUUGACGUCCUUGCUCCUUGGUCUUCUUCUUGACAAGCCGUACAGAUCUACGGGUCUCCAAAUUGCCAUCUCUUGGUGGUGCGUCCUUUUCCACUUGAAUUUGUGUCUCUUUUUCUUUAGGUUGCACCCCCACCUUUGUGCUUUAGGCUACAGUACACACAAUCAAAACCACCAUAAUACGGCCAUGCAUGGUUCCAAGGAUCAUAUAAGUUAUUGUCUUUAAUUUCUGCAUUGCAAAGUUACAAACAACAUCACUUUAAAUGAACCUAGCAAAUCAAGAUCAUAUGGUUCCAUUUGCAUCGUGUGAACAAGCAUAGCAUAGUAAUACCUUUGCAAGAUCUUUGGGAACCACUUGCAUUUGCAUCGUGAUUGCCACUGCCACUCCUAUUUGCAGUUCCAGGAC